rnacentral:misc_RNA from 1 species
CUUCAAAAUUCAACCCUUUUCUAUUAUUCCUAUAUGCCAAGCGCGCUCUCUCCCUCUCCAAUUCAAAUAAUAAGCAUUUCAAUCGCAGAUCUCCUCUUCUCUUUUAUAAACCCUAACUAUCCUUUCCAUUCUACCUUCAUUCACUCCCUUCUCCACAAAGAUUCUACCUUUAUUUUCUUUCUGUGGUUUUUCGUUCGUUUUCAUUCAUGGGUUACUGCAAACCCCUCUUGAAUUUGAAGUUUUUUUUGAGUCUUUUUUAAUUUUGUACUAGAAAAGUGUUGAACUUGAACUGGGUUUCCAAUUGAAUGGAGAAUCAGGGUGAUUUACUGUUGUUGGGAUCUGAUUUUACGGAGAUUGGAGAGAAGCGAAGUAGUGGUGAAUCGGGAGAGGAACAAGAAAGUGCUCGUAAGCGGAUUAAAAUGCGAAAUCUUGAUUCUGUGUUGGGGUCUGAAGAAACCACCACUCAUCAUUUGAAAAGUAGAGAAGCUAGUGACCAAUUUCAGUUUAGUGAAGAAAUUUCGCACGUUACCAAUUUGCCUGUAACCUUGGAUCUGGAUGCUACUCAAGUAGAAAGACGUGGGAGGACUUCGUUAACAAUUGAGGUCAAUCCUGCCCCUAGAAUACUGGAUCUCAAUAGUGAGGCUUGUGUUACUAAUAAUUCAGCUAGCAAUGGAAGUGCAGAACAUGCUGAGACUUUUAAGAAAGUCUCCUUGCUUAAGCAGCAUGAUAGAGAAUAUGACAGUAAAUGUGUAACCUCUGGAGGGAUUGGCUUGGAUCUCAAUGCAGAAGAUGUUACUAGCUCUAUAAACCAGGAAUCAUUUCAUACGACCAAAAAUCAUGACCAAUUGAAAUCAAGAAGGGAAGCUUCUGAGUGUGGGAGUACUACUGGUCCAGUGGAGGGGAAAGAUCCAUUGAGAGUUUGGAAGGAGAUGAAGCAAAAUGGUUUUCUCUCAUAUUCUCGUGGAGGCAUUUCAAUUCAAAGUGGUUUAAUCUCACCUUCACAUGGAGGGAUACCAAUGCCAAAGCAACGUGGGAGAAAAAGCAAGAAUGAUCUUCUCAAGAAAAAGAUGGAGCUUGCAAAGAAAGAACAAGUGGAUAGGUUCACAAAAAUUGCUGCUCCAAGUGGACUGUUAAAUGGAUUGAACCCUGGGAUUAUAAACCAUGUAAGGAACAAAAAACAGGUCCAUUCCAUAAUAGAGGCCCUAGUGAGGUCUGAAAAACUUCAAAAUGGUCGUGUUGAAUCCAAAGAAGAGAGCCGGCUAAAAACUGAAAUUAAAGAAACCAGCAAUGUAAGUGAUUCAGGAAUACAUCUACUCAGUUUUUCUCAAGGAAAUGGGGCUUCAGCUAUUUUAUCUGGGAACAAACAAAUAGGAGGAUACCAUAUAUUAUCCAGAGAGGGUGAUGCCAGCAUGGUAGAUAGGAUAUGUGGUAGAAAUUCUGUCUCACAUUCCACUGUUCUCAUUGAGGAUGAUUCAUUAGCACUGAAGUUAUCAACAUCAACCAAGGUAUCUGAGGAAUCUAGCACUUUUUCUAAUGAGGAAUCAACAAAUGUCAGUAGCAUUUCUUCUCUUUCUGUAAGAGCUGCUAGCGUUGCUUCUCAAUGGCUAGAACUUCUUCAUCAAGACAUUAAAGGGCGCCUCUCAGCAUUGCGACGCAGUAAGAAAAGAGUUCGAGCUGUAAUUACGACAGAGUUACCUUUUUUAAUAUCAAAAGAAUUCCCAUCUAAUCAAGAGAAUGACCCUUUUAUUAUGAAAACUUCAUCCGAUGGAAUGUCCAGUAGUGCAGUAUCUGCCAUGCAUCAAGCAAGAUGGAGAACAUUGUUUGAUCAGAUGGAUAAAGCACUUUCUGAAGAAGAGAAGCAACUUGUAAGAAUUGGAGGAAAUUAUUCCGUUUCAUAUCAUGGAUCCAAGAAAAUGAACUAUAGGUGUUUCCUGAAAGGGAGUUGGCUUGUUCUCUUUGAAGAGGAUCAGGAAAUACAAUUUGACUUAAUCGGCUCUUUCAUCCAUUUACAGUUUGUUUGAUUUAGCUUAUUCUUCACCUAACUGUUUAUGUUCCUCUGCAAAGCUUAAAAUAAGAUGCACCUUUUCUCAAUCUAAUACCAUCUAUGAGGUCUUUUUCAAUCUCUAAACGUUUAAUUUCUUGUGGUUUAAAUUGCAGGAAAGUUGGUUGAGCCAAGUAAAAGAAAUGCAGCUGCACUGUGAUCAGGGGCUGGAAAAUUUCCAAUGGAAUGCAAUUUUUGGUUUCCAACAGCAGGAAACAUCAGAAAAUUACACUAGGUAGAGCUUUUAUAAGCUAAAACAUUGCUCUAGCGGUUGCCAUUUCCAUUAUAAAGCUAUAUCACUUGUGGUUAGGUCUGCCCCAGCAUUUUAAAUUUGCAUAUGCACUUCACAUUUCAAAUCUUCUGCAUUAUGUUGGAUGCUAUUGAUAUAAGUUCAGUCAUUCUAUGUAAUCCACUGCCUUAUUUCAUGGGGAAAAGGAGCUAUGACCAGUAAGGUAUUGAUCUUAGCAUAAUCAAUAAAAUAGGGAACAGUAAUGACCCCUAUAUAAUAGGAAAUAAUCAUUAACUUUUGUGCUGUCUGGCCUUAAGAGGUUUGCUACAUUGACGUAAACAUGUCAAAUAUUGGCUUCUUGGCUUCAUUGUCAAGAAUAUGUGUCCAUAAACGAAGGUUUUGAGGAUAAUGUGGUAAAAUAAUGUUUUGCUUGUUUUUUCUUUUUCUCACUCGAGCUCCCUGUGUGGUGGAUAAUGCUGUGAUUUUUCAACAAUUUAUUAUUUUUUUGUGCGGUGCAGAAUUGGGAAUGCUGACAGCUUUGAGAGGGAAUUAGCUGUUAGAGCUGCUGCAGCUUCCAUCUAUUCAACCUGUAGUUUUCUGAUGUCAAAGGAGAAUGUAUCAUGCUUCUGAUCUCGUUAACAAUAAUUUCUUUUUUCUCCCUUCAACCUAUCUUAUUGUGGUGACUUCCCCAAUACUAAACUGAUUAGGUGUUUACUUUUACAAGGCUAUGCAGCUUAGCAAUAGCAAGUCUGUGACAUCAGGAAAUGGAACUCUUUUAACCUUUUCUUUAGUUUAAAUUUAUCUCAGCAGUGUCAGGGUAGUGCUAGAAUCUGAUUGUUAGAACUCUAGUUGCAUAAUCAAAGAAGUGCUAGAAUCUGUUUUUCAGGUUCCAUGAUGUUUCCUUUUUUUUUUCCCCCUUGGAUUGUAUCUGAAUGUAGAAUGAUUUGAAAUUUUUAAUUUUGUCAUUGAUGACAAUCUUAUCUCAA